UACAGAGGGUGCAAGCGUUAAUCGGAUUGACUGGGCGUAAAGGGCAUGUAGGCGGUUAUUUAAGUGAUUUGUGAAAUUCCUGGGCUUAACCUGGGCAUUGCAAGUCAUACUGGGUAACUAGAGUCUGAGAGAGGGAAGUAGAAUUUCCGGUGUAGCGGUGAAAUGCGUAGAGAUCGGAAAGAAUACCAGUGGCGAAGGCG
rnacentral:rRNA from 1 species